AUGCCGCGUGUGUGAAGAAGGCCUUCGGGUUGUAAAGCACUUUCAGUCGUGAGGAAGGUAGUGUAGUUAAUAGCUGCAUUAUUUGACGUUAGCGACAGAAGAAGCACCGGCUAACUCCGUGCCAGCAGCCGCGGUAAUACGGAGGGUGCGAGCGUUAAUCGGAAUUACGGGGCGUAAAGCGCAUGCAAGUGGUUUGUUAAGUCAGAUGUGAAAGCCCGGGGCUCAACCUCGGAAUAGCAUUUGAAACUGGCAGACUAGAGUACUGUAGAGGGGGGUAGAAUUUCAGGUGUAGCGGUGAAAUGCGUAGAGAUCUGAAGGAAUACCGGGUGGCGAAGGCGGCGCCCUGGACAGAUACUGACACUCAGAUGCGAAAGCGUGGGGAGCAAACAGGAUUAGAUACCCUGGUAGUCCACGCCGUUACGAUGUCUACUUGGAGGUUGUGGCCUUGAGCCGUGGCUUUCGGAGCUAACGCGGUAAGUAGACCGCCUGCGGGAGUACGGUCGCAAGAUUAACGCUCAGAUGGAGUUGCCGGCGGCUCGCAUGAGCUGUGGACCAGGGGGUGUAAUUCCAUGCCACGCCAAUAAACCUACCUACUCUUGAAUCCAGGAAUUGGCCAGAAAUGCAUUGG
rnacentral:rRNA from 1 species